rnacentral:rRNA from 1 species
GAUGAACGCUGGCGGCGUGCCUAAUACAUGCAAGUCGAGCGAAUCACUUCGGUGGUUAGUGGCGAACGGGUGAGUAACACGUAGGUAAUCUGCCCUUCAGACGAGGAUAACGGUUGGAAACGACCGCUAAUACUGGAUAGUACAUCUUGUCGCAUGACGGGAUGUUUAAAGUUCCGUGCGGGACACUGAAGGAGGAGCCUGCGGCGCAUUAGUUAGUUGGCGGGGUAACAGCCCACCAAGACGAUGAUGCGUAGCCGGACUGAGAGGUUGAACGGCCACAUUGGGACUGAGACACGGCCCAG